rnacentral:lncRNA from 1 species
AGUAUUAUGGGACAGUGUCAAAAUUGUUAAGAGAGUCAAGGAUACAAAGCAAGGGCUGUUACGAGAGUCUCUUGAAAUUAAGAAGAAAAAGAAGAACGGGAGCAUAAUAAACAACAACGAAUCCAGAGAGUUGCCACCAGCAUGGAUGUGUGCCAUAAAGGAGAUGUGCUGAUAGCGACAUGGUGCAGUAGAAUGGUCAUAACUUUUCUGUUCUGGGCGGACGGGCCGGUGCUUGAUGUCCGCGCGGAGCGCUGUCGUGGCGGUUUGCACUUGGAUCUUCUGACCUGUACCGUAUGGUUUGCUCUUGUUGCAUUUUAUGUUUUGUACACUACAUUUUUAUUUUUAUUUGUUUUGGUUUAUUUAUGCAUCUAAUGCAUUGGUUGGCACAUGUUGAUCC